rnacentral:rRNA from 1 species
UACGUAUGGAGCAAGCGUUCUCCGGAUUUACUGGGUGUAAAGGGAGCGUAGGCGGUUGCUUAAGUCUGAUGUGAAAACCCGGAGCUCAACCCCGGGAUUGCAUUGGAAACUGAGUAACUAGAGUGUCGGAGAGGCAAGUGGAAUUCCCAGUGUAGCGGUGAAAUGCAUAGAUAUUGGGAGGAACACCAGUGGCGAAGGCGGCUUGCUGGACGAUUACUGACGCUGAGACUCGAAAGCGUGGGGAG